rnacentral:rRNA from 1 species
GACGAACGCUGGCGGCGUGCUUAACACAUGCAAGUCGAACGGGAUUUAGUAAACAGAAGCCUCGGCGGAAGAUUACUAAUGAGAGUGGCGAACGGGUGAGUAACGCGUGAGCAACCUGCCUAUGACAGUGGGAUAGCCUCGGGAAACCGGGAUUAAUACCGCAUAAAAUCGUAGAAACACAUGUUUUAACGGUCAAAGAUUUAUCGGUCAUAGAUGGGCUCGCGUCUGAUUAGCUAGUUGGUGAGAUAACAGCCCACCAAGGCGACGAUCAGUAGCCGGUCUGAGAGGAUGAACGGCCACAUUGGAACUGAGACACGGUCCAAACUCCUACGGGAGGCAGCAGUGGGGAAUAUUGCACAAUGGGGGAAACCCUGAUGCAGCGACGCCGCGUGAACGAAGAAGGUAUUCGUAUCGUAAAGUUCUGUCCUAUGGGAAGAUAAUGACAGUACCAUAGAAGAAAGCUCCGGCUAAAUACGUGCCAGCAGCCGCGGUAAUACGUAUGGAGCGAGCGUUGUCCGGAAUUAUUGGGCGUAAAGGGUACGCAGGCGGUUUAAUAAGUCGAAUGUUAAAGAUCGGGGCUCAACCCCGUAAAGCAUUGGAAACUGAUAAACUUGAGUAGUGGAGAGGAAAGUGGAAUUCCUAGUGUAGUGGUGAAAUACGUAGAUAUUAGGAGGAAUACCAGUAGCGAAGGCGACUUUCUGGACACAAACUGACGCUGAGGUACGAAAGCGUGGGGAGCAAACAGG